rnacentral:rRNA from 1 species
UACAGAGGUCUCGAGCGUUGUUCGGAUUUACUGGGCGUAAAGGGAGCGUAGGCGGCCUGGUGUGUCGAAUGUGAAAUCCCGCCACUCAAGGGCGGAACGGCAUUCGAAACUGCCGGGCUGGAGUACCGGAGAGGAAGGCGGAAUUCUUGGUGUAGCGGUGAAAUGCGUAGAUAUCAAGAAGAACACCGAUGGCGAAGGCAGCCUUCUGGACGGAUACUGACGCUGAGGCUCUAAAGUCAGGGGAG